UUUGCAUUUGACUGUGCACGUGUGCAUUC
rnacentral:piRNA from 1 species